GUGGGGAAUAUUGCACAAUGGGGGCAACCCUGAUGCAGCGACGCCGCGUGAGUGAAGAAGUAUUUCGGUAUGUAAAGCUCUAUCAGCAGGGAAGAUAAUGACGGUACCUGACUAAGAAGCCCCGGCUAACUACGUGCCAGCAGCCGCGGUAAUACGUAGGGGGCAAGCGUUAUCCGGAUUUACUGGGUGUAAAGGGAGCGUAGACGGUAUGGCAAGUCAGAUGUGAAAGCCCGGGGCUUAACCCCGGAACUGCAUUUGAAACUGUCAGACUAGAGUGUCGGAGAGGUAAGUGGAAUUCCUAGUGUAGCGGUGAAAUGCGUAGAUAUUAGGAGGAACACCAGUGGCGAAGGCGGCUUACUGGACGAUAACUGACGUUGAGGCUCGAAAGCGUGGGGAGCAAACAGGA
rnacentral:rRNA from 1 species